UACGGGAGGCAGCAGUGGGGAAUAUUGCACAAUGGGCGCAAGCCUGAUGCAGCCAUGCCGCGUGUAUGAAGAAGGCCUUCGGGUUGUAAAGUACUUUCAGUCGUGAGGAAGGUGUUAAGGUUAAUAACCUUAGCAAUUGACGUUAGCGACAGAAGAAGCACCGGCUAACUCCGUGCCAGCAGCCGCGGUAAUACGGAGGGUGCGAGCGUUAAUCGGAAUUACUGGGCGUAAAGGGCACGCAGGCGGUUAAUUAAGUUGGAUGUGAAAUCCCCGGGCUUAACCUGGGAAUGGCAUUCAAGACUGGUUAGCUAGAGUCUUGUAGAGGGGGUAGAAUUCCAUGUGUAGCGGUGAAAUGCGUAGAGAUGUGGAGGAAUACCGGUGGCGAAGGCGGCCCCUGGACAAAGGCUGACGCUCAUGUGCGAAAGCGUGGGGAGCAAAC
rnacentral:rRNA from 1 species